UUGUGCAUUGUCAAAUAUUUUUCAGUGUUGUGUUAAAAUAUUUAGGAUUGUAUUGUUUUACCACAGGGAUGGCACCUCGUCAGGACUUUGUCGCCCAGCCGCAGCCGAUCAGAAUAGACCAGGGGCGCGCGCCGCCGCCGCCGCCCGCGCCCGGCCGCCUCCAGCGCCCCCCGCACGACAACCCUACAGCCUACAUAAACAGGCCUGCCAACAUACCAAGGACUACUGUCAACAACACCGGAGUAGCGCGCACGUAGGCAAUGGAAAUUGCAUUUUCUGAUUCGGCAAAAACUGUAAAGAGUACUAGAAUGUAUAAAUACAGCGCGAAAAAGAAUUGCUGUUAAUUAUGUUCUGAGUUAAACUUUGUAAUUGUCUGUAAAUGUCUGUGUCCCAUAUUCGGAUACUCGUUUAUAUUUAAGUUAUAAUAAGAUAAAAUUAAUGAUUCACCUUCUCAUUACUUAUCAACCCACAGCUGGGAAUCUGUGGACCUAUAUCAAAAAUCUAGUUCCAUUUUUUUCUAUUAGCGUCCCGAAAGUUUUGUCGCUUUCUGUGAACUGUAACAAAAAACUACAUGCGCUAUAAUUACACACAGUAUUUAAACUGUUCAAGUGUUUGAACGGUAUAAUAUAUAAAACCAUUCUAAAAAUAAAUCAUAACAGAGAUAGUUUAGGCUAACAAGAAAAUCGAUAUAUUAGUUCAUUGUACCGUUAGUAGGGUAUCUUUUUAUGUCCUGAUCAAUAUAUUUGUGUUAUGGCCGAUGUAAAGGUGUUUUGUUCACACAAUAAUAUAUGAAUAGAGGCACUGAUUCCCCAA